GGAAAAUGUCAAUUGGGCACCUAUCUGAUCUCAUUUCCUUCUAUCAUAUGAUGGGAAAAAUAUGCUCUGAAGCUUUGGAGAAGAAACUUCAAGACUCUGUAAAUGAAGAGGUUGAAUUAUAAACGAGGAAGAUGAUAUUUUCAAUUGCUUCGCUGAAAGAAAUAUAUUGCACUUCUUUUCUAAUUGAUCAUUUUUCAUUAAUCGCAUGUAUUUUCAAUCAAUGCUUAUAUAAUCCUUGCAACUCUUUAAUUGUAAGUUGUAAAU
rnacentral:misc_RNA from 1 species